rnacentral:rRNA from 1 species
GGUCAAGCAAUAAGGGCACAGGCGGAUGCCUUGGCACUAAGAGCCGAUGAAAGACGUGAUAAGCUGCGAUAAGCUCGGGGAGGAGCAAAUAUCCAUUGAUCCGGAGAUGUCUGAAUGGGGAAACCCACAUGAGCAAACCUCAUGUAUCC